CCUACGGGUGGCAGCAGUGGGGGAUAUUGCACAAUGGGGGGAACCCUGAUGCAGCGACGCCGCGUGGGUGAAGGAGUGCUUCGGCAUGUAAAGCCCUAUCGGCAGGGAAGAAGCAAGACGGUACCUGACUCAGAAGCCCCGGCUAACUACGUGCCAGCAGCCGCGAUACUACGUAGGGGGCGAGCGUAAUCCGGAUUCACGGGGUGUAAAGGGAGCGUAGACGGCCAUGCAGGCCAGGGGUGAAAGCCCGGGGCCCAACCCCGGGACUGCCCUUGGAACUGAAUGGUGGGAGUGCGGGAGGGGCAGGCGGAAUUCCUGGUGUAGCGGUGAAAUGCGUAGAUAUCAGGAGGAACACCGGCGGCGAAGGCGGCCUGCUGGACCGCGAUUGACGUUGAGGCUCGAAAGCGUGGGGAGCGAACAGGAUUAGAUACCCCAGUAGUC
rnacentral:rRNA from 1 species